CGGCAGUUGUGAUCGGCGCGGUCGAGACGUGAGUCAAGAAGAAGCGAAGCAAACGAGAGAGCAAAAAGGGGAGAGGGUCGAGAGCAAUUCGCUACGAGAGAAAGAAGCUCGCGCCCACACGCAUCGUUCGCGUUUCUUUGUUACAUGUGCGAUCUAUCGUCGCCGGUACGACAAUAUUUUUCGAAAGCACGGAGGGCGAGUCCGUCCGUUGUCGCGACAGUGGUAGUGGUAGUGACGGCAGUGGUGGUGGUGUAAUAUUUCAUAGUGGCGGUGGUGUUGGUGCCGCCGUCGCGCACUCGUCGUUGGUCGCGCAUCGUGGCGACAGCUGGUAGCGACAGCCGUCGUCGCACGUCGUCGUCGUCGUCAGGCUCGACUUCGAGUCGAUCGAGUCGCGUACGCAAGUACGAUACGCGGGUAGUCGCGGACGUUACGCGCGCGUUCGUGGAACGAAGUAACGGAUAACGGUGCGCGCGCGCGCACACACACAUAUACACACACACACACACACAAGGGACGAGAGAAAGUAUAGUCGGGAACGCACAAGGGGCAGGCCCGCAGCAGCAGCACCUUUGCCGCGUCGUGUUGCGCGCUCGCUAAACAAAGAUGGCGGACGUGGACUCGAGGGUAGACCGGUCCGAUCCGGAGCUGCGUAUCUUGUCGGUCGACAGGAACAGCUUCAACGAUCCGGCCACCCAAGCGGAAUGGACGCAAAAGAAGCUGGUGUGGGUGCCACACGAGACGCAGGGCUUCGUCGCCGCCGGUAUCAAGGGCGAGCGCGGCGACGAAGUCGAGGUGGAGAUCGCGGAGACCGGCAAGCGCGUACUCGUCGCCAAGGAUGAUAUACAGAAGAUGAAUCCGCCCAAGUUCGAUAAGGUCGAGGACAUGGCGGAGCUUACCUGUCUCAACGAGGCCUCCGUUCUGCAUAACCUCAAGGACCGAUACUAUUCCGGACUGAUUUACACAUAUUCUGGCCUCUUUUGCGUCGUAGUAAACCCUUAUAAGAGACUGCCAAUAUACACAGAGAAGAUUAUGGAAAGGUACAAAGGCAUUAAGAGACACGAAGUGCCACCACACGUAUUUGCCAUUACCGAUACGGCUUAUCGUUCUAUGUUGCAAGAUCGCGAAGACCAGUCAAUUUUGUGCACCGGCGAGUCCGGCGCCGGCAAGACCGAGAACACAAAGAAAGUGAUUCAAUAUUUAGCCUAUGUGGCCGCGUCGAAACCCAAGUCUAACGCGACUCCGAGUCCGGCAUUAAUCAUAGGUGAGCUCGAGCAACAGCUUCUUCAGGCGAAUCCAAUUUUGGAAGCAUUCGGUAAUGCGAAGACUGUGAAGAAUGAUAAUUCGUCCCGUUUCGGUAAAUUUAUAAGAAUAAAUUUUGAUGCAUCCGGUUACAUAGCCGGUGCAAAUAUUGAGACGUAUCUUCUAGAGAAGUCGAGAGCCAUUCGGCAAGCGAAAGAUGAAAGGACUUUCCACAUAUUUUAUCAACUGUUGGCAGGUGCUUCAGUGGAACAAAAGAAGGAAUUUAUAUUGGAAGAUCCAAAGCACUAUCCUUUUCUAUCGAAUGGAGCUCUACCAGUUCCUGGUGUCGAUGAUUCCGCUGAAUUCUUCUCUACGGUAAAGUCGAUGCACAUCAUGGGCAUGACCAACGAGGACUUCUCCUCCAUCUUCCGUAUCGUUUCCGCCGUGAUGUUGUUUGGUUCGAUGCAAUUCCGUCAAGAGCGAAAUUCUGAUCAAGCCACGUUACCGGACAACACGGUGGCGCAGAAGAUCUCGCACUUAUUGGGCCUAAGCGUGACCGAGAUGACGAAAGCCUUCCUAAAACCGCGCAUUAAGGUCGGUCGUGAUUUCGUUACGAAGGCACAGACGAAGGAGCAGGUGGAAUUCGCUGUAGAGGCGAUCUCAAAGGCCUGUUAUGAAAGGAUGUUCCGUUGGUUGGUGAAUAGAAUCAAUAGGUCCCUUGACAGAACGAAGCGACAGGGUGCCAGCUUCAUCGGCAUACUGGAUAUGGCCGGUUUCGAGAUAUUCGAGCUGAAUUCCUUCGAGCAGCUUUGUAUCAAUUACACAAAUGAGAAGUUGCAACAAUUGUUCAAUCAUACGAUGUUUAUUCUGGAGCAAGAGGAGUAUCAGCGUGAGGGAAUUGAAUGGAAGUUCAUAGACUUUGGAUUGGAUUUGCAGCCAACGAUCGAUCUUAUCGACAAACCAAUGGGCAUUAUGGCGCUUUUAGAUGAAGAGUGUUGGUUUCCUAAAGCCACGGACAAGACAUUCGUGGAAAAACUGGUUGGCGCUCACAGUGUCCAUCCGAAGUUCAUGAAGACUGACUUCCGCUAUGUAGCCGAUUUUGCAAUUAUCCAUUAUGCUGGCAAAGUUGAUUAUUCUGCCGCUAAAUGGUUGAUGAAAAAUAUGGACCCAUUGAAUGAGAACGUUGUUAGUCUUCUACAAGGCUCACAGGAUCCGUUUGUGUGUCAUAUCUGGAAAGAUGCUGAGAUUGUCGGUAUGGCGCAGCAGGCGCUCACAGAUACACAAUUCGGUGCGAGGACGAGGAAGGGCAUGUUCAGAACGGUCUCGCAACUGUAUAAGGAACAAUUAGCCAAGCUGAUGGUGACAUUGCGCAACACGAAUCCAAACUUUGUUAGAUGUAUAAUUCCGAAUCACGAGAAGAGAGCUGGUAAAAUUGACGCCCCGCUUGUGCUAGAUCAACUACGAUGCAAUGGCGUGUUGGAGGGUAUCCGUAUCUGCCGGCAAGGUUUCCCAAACAGAAUUCCGUUCCAAGAAUUCAGACAACGCUACGAAUUGCUUACUCCAAAUGCUAUCCCCAAGGGAUUUAUGGACGGGAAAAAGGCUUGCGAAAAGAUGAUUCAAGCAUUAGAGUUGGAUCCAAAUCUUUAUCGUGUUGGACAAUCGAAGAUCUUUUUCCGCGCCGGGGUGUUGGCCCACUUGGAGGAGGAGAGGGACUACAAGAUCACGGAUAUAAUCGUCAAUUUCCAGGCUUUCUGUCGCGGUUUCUUGGCCAGGCGUAAUUAUCAAAAACGUUUGCAGCAGCUUAACGCGAUCCGCAUUAUCCAGAGAAACUGUGCGGCUUAUCUAAAGUUGCGCAAUUGGCAAUGGUGGCGGUUGUACACCAAAGUGAAGCCUCUAUUAGAGGUUACCAAACAGGAGGAAAAGCUCACACAGAAAGAGGAUGAACUGAAGCAGGUUCGCGACAAGCUGGAGUUACAGCUGCAUUCGGCUCAGGAAUACGAGCGCAAAUAUCAACAGGCAAUCGAAGAAAAGACUAUGCUGGCUGAGCAAUUGCAGGCAGAAGUUGAGCUUUGCGCGGAAGCCGAAGAGAUGAGAGCUAGGUUGGCCGCGAGAAAGCAAGAGCUAGAGGAAAUUUUGCAUGAUUUGGAAGCGCGUAUCGAAGAGGAAGAAGAGAGAAGCGCCGCGUUGACUCAGGAGAAGAAGAAAUUACAGUUGAAUAUUAGUGAUUUAGAAGAGCAACUAGAGGAAGAGGAAGCUGCUAGACAAAAACUGCAAUUAGAAAAAGUUCAAUGUGAUGCGAAAAUCAAGAAGUUAGAGGAAGAUCUCGCUCUUUCAGAAGAUACCAAUCAAAAGUUAUUGAAAGAAAAAAAGAUUCUUGAGGAACGUGCAAAUGAUCUUUCACAGACUUUGGCCGAAGAAGAGGAGAAGGCGAAGCAUUUGUCGAAAUUGAAAGCUAAGCACGAAGCGACAAUCGCCGAUCUCGAGGAGAGACUUCUUAAAGAUCAUCAGCAACGACAGGAGGUGGAUAGAUCCAAGAGAAAAGUCGAGACUGAGGUUUCAGACUUGAAAGAGCAAUUGGCUGAAAGGAAAACGCAAGUUGAAGAAAUGCAGCUUCAACUUGGCAAACGUGAGGAAGAACUCAAUCAAGUUAUGGCAAAAAUGGACGAAGAAGGUGCCGCUAAAGCACAAGCUCAAAAAGCGCUUAGAGAGCUAGAGUCACAGUUAGCUGAACUUCAGGAAGAUUUAGAAGCUGAAAAGGCAGCUAGGGGUAAAGCGGAAAAACAGAAGCGCGAUUUGAACGAGGAACUUGAAGCACUGAAAAAUGAAUUGCUCGAUUCUUUAGAUACUACCGCAGCUCAACAGGAAUUAAGAAGCAAACGAGAACAAGAACUAGCAACAUUGAAGAAGAACCUCGAAGAGGAAACAUCAUUGCAUGAAGCUACGCUCGCCGAUAUGCGUCAUAAGCAUACACAAGAACUGACUGCUCUGAAUGAACAGAUGGAUGCGUUGAAGAAAACGAAAGCGGUUCUAGAGAAGGCAAAAGGAUCUUUGGAAGCCGAGAACGCUGAUUUGGCAACAGAACUCAGAUCGGUCAGUGCAAGUAGACAAGAAUCUGAUCGUCGUCGUAAGCAAGCGGAGCAACAGUUAGCGGAAAUAAACGCAAAAUUGGCCGAGGUAGAACGAAACAAACAAGAAUUAGCCGAGAAAGUGACGAAACUGCAACAAGAAGCGGAAAGUGUAAUGCAGCAGCUAGAAACUGCUGAACUGAAAGCAUCUGCAGCAUUGAAGGCAUCGGCCACCUGCGAAUCCCAGUUUACCGAACUACAACAGCAAUUGGAAGAAGAAACUCGGCAGAAACUGGCUCUCAGUUCGAAGUUGCGCGCAUUAGAAAGUGAGAAAGAGAGCUUGCACGAUCAACUUGAGGAAGAAGAGGAAGCAAAACGUGCCUUGGACAAGCAACUGCUGAGUCUGAAUGUACAAUUGGCUGAAGCCAAGAAACGUGCUGAUGAUGAAGCAGAGGCAGCUGUCGCUCUCGAGGAGGCCAGGAAACGUUGCACGAAGGACAUUGAAGGUCUCCAACGGCAAGUCGAGGAAUUACAGGCAGCCAAUGAUAAAUUAGAUAAAUCAAAGAAAAAGAUUCAGGCAGAACUGGAGGACAGUAUCAUCGAGUUGGAGGCACAGCGAGCGAAAGUACUUGAGUUAGAAAAGAAGCAGAAGAACUUUGACAAGGUGCUGGCCGAGGAGAAGGCUGUGUCUGAGCAAUAUGCAGAACAACGGGACGCCGCGGAGAGAGAAGCGCGCGAGAAAGAGACAAGAGUAUUAUCAUUGACUCGCGAAUUAGAUGAGCUUAAUGAGAAAGUUGAGGAACUUGAACGGGGCCGUAGAGGUCUACAAUCGGAACUGGACGAAUUGGUUAAUAACCAAGGUACCGCUGACAAGAAUGUUCACGAGUUAGAGAAGGCAAAACGUUCAUUAGAAUCACAGCUACAAGAACAAAAAUCGCAGGUUGAAGAAUUGGAGGAUGAGUUACAGUUCACGGAAGAUGCUAAGCUCCGGUUGGAAGUAAAUAUGCAAGCAUUGCGAGCUCAGUUCGAGCGUGAUCUUCAAACCAAGGAAGAACAAGCGGAAGAAAAACGUCGGGGAUUAGUGAAGCAGCUCCGUGAUCUCGAGGCGGAGCUCGAGGAUGAGAGGAAACAGCGUGCUGCAGCCAUCGCUGCACGUAAAAAAAUGGAAGCGGAUUACAAGGACAUCGAACAACAGUUGGAGAUGCAUAAUAAGGUGAAGGAAGACGCACUCAAGCAACUGAAAAAACUUCAAACUCAAAUCAAGGAUUGUACUAGAGAGACAGAAGAAGCUAGGGCUGCAAGAGAUGAACUGGCAGCUGCCUCUAAGGAAACCGAGAGGAAGGUUAAGAGCUUAGAAGCCGAUUUGUUGCAAUUGACCGAGGACUUUGCAAGUAGUGAACGCGCCAGACGAACUGCCGAAAAUGAGAGGGAUGAGCUGCAAGAAGAAGUCAAUAAUAAUGCCAACAAGGGAACUCUGAUGUUAGACGAGAAACGUAGAUUGGAGGCAAGAAUUGCCACUCUAGAGGAAGAAUUGGAAGAGGAGCAAUCGAACGCUGAGAUCGUAAUGGAUCGUGCUAGAAAAGGUCAAAUUGUGAUCGAGCAGUUGACAACGGACUUGGCGACUGAGCGAUCUACUACGCAAAAAUUGGAGUCACACAAGAUGCUGUUAGAGAGACAGAAUAAAGAACUUAAAGCCAAGUUAACCGAGUUAGAGACUGCGCAACGUGCCAAGACCAAGGCUACGAUACAGCAACUGGAAUCGAAGAUCAACAAUCUCGAUGAGCAACUUGAAACUGAAGCCAAGGAAAGAUUCGCCCAGCAGAAGAUCAAUCGUAAGCUGGAGAAGAAAUUGAAGGAACUGAGCCUACAGUUGGAGGAUGAGAGACGAAACUCUGAUCAGUAUAAAGAACAGGCGGAGAAAGUCAAUGUCAGAAUGAAGGCGUUGAAGAGACAAUUGGACGAAGCGGAGGAGGAGAUUAGUAGGCAUAAGACCAUGAAGCGGAAAGCGCAAAGAGAGAUGGAUGACAUCACAGAAUCUCACGAAGAGCUCAUGCGGGAAUUGACACAUCUAAAGAAUAAAUUAAGGUGUCAAGAGAGAAAAAACGAUUGGUAUCCUACCUGAGAGAGUUUUUUGCUAGGAAACAAUCCCAUUAGUGUCCCCAGUGUGCUACAGCGCGGUGGUCCUCCGAUAAGUCUGAGCUCUACGAGGCUGAAACGCGGUUCUGUACAAACCGGCGGCUCGGGUGAUG
rnacentral:misc_RNA from 1 species